UCGGCAAAUCUCUGAAUGGUUAUCAAAUCCAAUCUCUCUGCCAUUUUGGGAGUGAGGUAAUUUUCCCAAUCAUUUGUCUUCCCUUCCCUUAAAAACAUAGUAUUCUUGAUUUGACGAUGGAGAACUUUCGUAACGCCACUCUCGUACAUCUUUGAAUCUUUCACCAUCUGAAAGCUACAAGCAGUGACGAUAUCUUUAAUGACAUUGUCUUUUUCUUCUUCUUCAGUAAAUGGAAGUUUCAAAAAUUCAGCCAAAGCCUUGAGCUGGACAACUGGAUCCGCCGUCAGAUCUUCGUAUUUGAUGAGUAGAAUGUUGGCACCAUUCUUUUUGGCAUUCCAAUAUCCAAGAACGUGAUCCCAGUAAGGACCGAAUUUGGAAUAUCCAUUGCAGAAGCACUCGAACCUUUCUUCUAUCGUAGGUAUAUUUUCACCUAGCUUAGAUGGUACGAUAUUGUUGAAGAAAUGCCAAUCAGACACAAAAAUAGCUUUCGGAUCUCUCCAGAUAUAAACAAUCGGACACCCAGAAUUGAUCAAGGAUGCAGGAAGAGAUGGGUAUGGUAUGUGAGUUGAAAGCAACCUUGGAGAUGGUAGCGAAUCGAUGU
rnacentral:lncRNA from 1 species